UUCAGAAAAUAGUAUUAUAUAGUACAUAAAUUUUGGAGAUUUAAAGAGGUUUUCUUUUCUGA
rnacentral:tRNA from 1 species